ensembl:lncRNA
UGUGACAUGCCUGGACUAUAGCAUAAACUCGGAUAAUUGACUCUGGGGCCCAGGCAUCUGGGCUAGCUUAGCAGCAGAUGUUCACAGUCACUUUCUAAAGCCAUCCUCGUGCUUCUGUGUUCUGGUGUUGUGCUUCUGAGGGGAUGUUGCUAAAUUUCUGAAGACGUCUCCUGCAUGUUGUAAAGCUCAGCUGCUCUCUGCUUAGCCCCCAGGCUGUCCUUGUGGGGACAUGGCAGGGAAGGGAGAAUUUGGAGGAGGUGACUAGAAGAGCGUUAAUUCUUGUUGGUUUAAUAUGCCUCAGUUUUGUGAGAAAGCACAAACAGGAGCAGAACCAAGCCACCUAUAACGUGCAGUUUACAGUGAUGCCUGACUGCAAAGAGACUGUCAAAAUCCCAGUCCUUAUCUCUUCUAAAUGGACACAGCAUCACACGGAGAAAAAGUGAAGAGCUGAGCACUGAGGUACAAGGAGAAAUGUCAGUUUAAGAAACGUGGAAGAGAAAUUUGUCGAUGGUUAAGAUAUCAGUCUGCAUCCAAACCCUGCUGAUGGACACUGGAGCCUCUCCAUGGAUUUGAGUGCACUUUGGAUCAUGGCAUAAAAACAGCAAUCAGG